rnacentral:lncRNA from 1 species
CUGGAAACAGCAGGUUGGAUUCAGGAAACCUCUCCAUGAAAAGCACAGGGCCAGAGUCUCAGUUGGUUUCUGGCUGAAAGAUUACUCACGAUAAAUACACCCCAGCAGAGUGGCUGAUUUCCCCGACACCCACCCCCGGCAUCGAGACCUCUGCAAGCUUCAGCAGACGAGGGCCUGUCUCCAGCGUGCCUCCCGGCCACCCCAGAGGGAACACAGGUGGAUGCUCGGCGGCCGGCCUUGUGGACUCUUCGAGGGUGGCGUGUGUGUGCCACAUAUUUCCCCGUCAGACCCUGGUUUCCCCUCAUUGCUCCCUGGGCUAAGACAGAAAUACAUGCCAAAGGCUUCCUUCCUUCCGUCUCUUUGCUCUUGCAUCACGCCACUUGCCCAGUUCCUGAAUUCUGAUUAGGUUGUGAAUUGCACCUCCAGCUUUGAACACUUACAGGAUUUUUUUUUUUCAAUCUUAGUCCCUGAAUUAGAAUGUGUUACUUCUGUGUUCUCUUCCCAGCACUGGACAGGUCGUUGUUGGUGCUUCCGUGUGGAUGGAUCACAUCCCGAGGGUGGACAUUUUGCUCCUGUAUUCCUUUGUUUGUUCUUUUUCAUCCAGGAGUUUUUAUCAUUCUCCUUGUCCUUCUCUUUUGAACUCUCCUGUGGUCAGCUGUCUGCUUUCCUUGCUCAGCACGGUGUUGGGAUGGGGUUUGUAAAUUUAAUUUCAGAUAACAUCUUGUUUGUGAAAAAAAGAAAACUAAAGAUCAGUGUAACAAUAAUAGUGAAGCAUAUGGAAUAAAACUAAAGAUCAGUGUAACAAUAAUAGCGAAGCAUAUGGAAUUGUGAAGGAAAAUAAAUAGGUUUAGUAUACACAAGAACAUAUUGCUCUGAUGGUUUUAUUUUAUUUUAUAUUUGUUUUUUCUCUG